rnacentral:rRNA from 1 species
AGAGUUUGAUCCUGGCUCAGGAUGAACGCUGGCGGCGUGCCUAAUACAUGCAAGUCGAACGCUUUGUGCUGAAUUGAUAUGACGAGCUUGCUCUGAUUUGAUUUUUUGAUUUCAAAGAGUGGCGAACGGGUGAGUAACACGUAGGUAACCUACCUCUUAGCAGGGGAUAACAUUUGGAAACAAGUGCUAAUACCGUAUAAUACCAACAACCGCAUGGUUGUUGGUUGAAAGAUGGUUCUGCUAUCACUAAGAGAUGGACCCGCGGUGCAUUAGCUAGUUGGUAAGGUAAUGGCUUACCAAGGCAAUGAUGCAUAGCCGAGUUGAGAGACUGAUCGGCCACAAUGGGACUGAGACACGGCCCAUACUCCUACGGGAGGCAGCAGUAGGGAAUCUUCCACAAUGGGCGCAAGCCUGAUGGAGCAACGCCGCGUGUGUGAUGAAGGGUUUCGGCUCGUAAAACACUGUUAUAAGAGAAGAACGGCACUGAGAGUAACUGUUCAGUGUGUGACGGUAUCUUACCAGAAAGGAACGGCUAAAUACGUGCCAGCAGCCGCGGUAAUACGUAUGUUCCAAGCGUUAUCCGGAUUUAUUGGGCGUAAAGCGAGCGCAGACGGUUAUUUAAGUCUGAAGUGAAAGCCCUCAGCUCAACUGAGGAAUUGCUUUGGAAACUGGAUGACUUGAGUGCAGUAGAGGAAAGUGGAACUCCAUGUGUAGCGGUGAAAUGCGUAGAUAUAUGGAAGAACACCAGUGGCGAAGGCGGCUUUCUGGACUGUAACUGACGUUGAGGCUCGAAAGUGUGGGUAGCAAACAGGAUUAGAUACCCUGGUAGUCCACACCGUAAACGAUGAGUGCUAGAUGUUCGAGGGUUUCCGC